AGCUCUGGUGAUGGGUGCUGGAGGAGGGCCACACUGUCACUGCUCGCCUGACAGUGACGGAGCAGCUGUCAGUGUCUCAUUUGAAACUCAAUGUCACCUAAUUUCCCUUUAAUAUAAGGGCAUUGACGCAGGGGAUGGAGCCCCCAGCAGGAGCCGCUGCAUUUGAAAGAAAACCAACUGACUUAAAUUCUGACACUCAGGUCUCCGUCCAUAAAAGGCAGCGUUGUUUCGUCUCGGUGUGGCGGGAGAAGAGAGACAACCACUGCAAACAGCAGGUGUGGCUUUUGAACGAAGCCACGACAUGGCAGAUCUCUUUCAGAUCUCCAUCGUCUGAUUCUUGUUUUCAUCAAAAGAAGAAAGGCCCUCCUUGCUGUUGUCUUUCAUCUCUGGGAGCUGGCCUCUCCUUCAUUCUAUACCUUUUGUUUGUUUGUUGUACCUGAGCUGUAGCUUUGUGGCCUCCAGCAGGUGUUACUAUUUAGCCCUUUGGUCAGACAUAAGCGGUGGUUGAGGAUUGGAAAGGAUGAAGCUCUUAGCGAUAAAUACUGACAGGAGUAAUGGCAACGGUUCCUGAACCGUAAAUUAAUCCAAAUUCAAGAUUUGCUGUCUUGGAAUGACUGCUAUCUACCCAGGAUGGCACAAAUUCAGCAUGAAAGACAGGUUGGUCGGAUGCCGUCGUCGGAUACGCAAACUCUCACGUGUUUAUAACUUUGUAUGUUCUGUACACUGUUGUCUCCAAUUAAUAUGACACCAAAUUAAAUUUCCUGUUAGAUAUCAGAUCUAUGUGUUUGUGUUAAUCAAAAUUAAUUUAACACAAAGCAGUAGCUAAUCCUGUUCAACCCAGUAGAGGAUCUAAGGCUAGUUUUGCUUGUGCGUGUGUUUGUGUGUACAGUAUGUGUAUGUGGAUGUGAUGUGUGUUUG